rnacentral:pre_miRNA from 8 species
CUAUAUAUACCCUGUAGAUCCGAAUUUGUGUGAAUAUACAGUCGCAAAUUCGUGUCUUGGGGAAUAUGUAGU